rnacentral:rRNA from 1 species
AUUGAACGCUGGCGGCAUGCCUUACACAUGCAAGUCGAACGGCAGCACGGGAGCAAUCCUGGUGGCGAGUGGCGAACGGGUGAGUAAAGUAUCGGAACGUGCCCAGUCGUGGGGGAUAACGUGGCGAAAGUUACGCUAAUACCGCAUACGAUCUAUGGAUGAAAGCGGGGGAUCGCAAGACCUCGCGCGAUUGGAGCGGCCGAAAUCAGAUUAGGUAGUUGGUGGGGUAAAGGCUCACCAAGCCGACGAUCUGUAGCUGGUCUGAGAGGACGACCGACAAGCAUGGGCCUGAGACACGGCCCAGACACCCACGGGAGGCAGCAGUGGGGAAUUUUGGACAAUGGGCGAAAGCCUGAUCCAGCCAUGCCGCGUGCAGGAUGAAGGCAUUCGGGUUGUAGACUGCUUUUGUACGGAACGAAAAGGUUUGGGCUAAUAAGCUGAGCUCAUGGCGGUACCGUAAGAAUAAGCACCGGCUAACUACGUGCCAGCAGCCGCGGUAA